ACGGGAGCACCACAACAGGUGGAGCCUGCGGUUUAAUCGGACUCAACGCCGGGAAGCUCACCGGAUAAGACAGCGGAAUGAUAGCCGGGCUGAAGACUCUGCUUGACUAGCUGAGAGGAGGUGCAUGGCCGUCGUCAGUUCGUACUGUGAAGCAUCCUGUUAAGUCAGGCAACGAGCGAGACCCACGCCAACAGUUGCCAGCAUGUCCUCCGGGAUGGUGGGGACACUGUUGGGACCGCCUCUGCUAAAGAGGAGGAAGGAAUGGGCAACGGUAGGUCAGCAUGCCCCGAAUUAUCCGGGCUACACGCGGGCUACAAUGGUCAGGACAAUGGGCAUCAACACCGAAAGGUGAAGGCAAUCUCUUAAACCUGUCCUUAGUUCGGAUUGUGGGCUGCAACUCGCCCACAUGAGGUCGGAAUCGCUAGUAAUCGCGGAUCAGCACGCCGCGGUGAAUACGUUCCCGGGCCUU
rnacentral:rRNA from 1 species